AUAAUGGUGUCUUUGGACACCACCUAUUCUGUCUUUGAAAUUUUAU
rfam:Picea glauca, whole genome shotgun sequence.